rnacentral:rRNA from 1 species
UACGUAGGGUGCAAGCGUUAAUCGGAAUUACUGGGCGUAAAGCGUGCGCAGGCGGUCCGUUAAGACAGAUGUGAAAUCCCCGGGCUCAACCUGGGAAUGGCAUUUGGGACUGCAAGGCUGGAGUGCGGCAGAGGAGACUGGAAUUCCUGGUGUAGCAGUGAAAUGCGCAGAUAUCAGGAGGAACACCGGUGGCGAAGGCGGGUCUCUGGGCCGAUACUGACGCUGAGGAGCGAAAGCAUGGGGAGCGAACAGG